rnacentral:rRNA from 1 species
GUGGGGAAUAUUGGACAAUGGGCGCAAGCCUGAUCCAGCCAUGCCGCGUGAGUGAUGAAGGCCUUAGGGUUGUAAAGCUCUUUCACCGAUGAAGAUAAUGACGGUAGUCGGAGAAGAAGCCCCGGCUAACUUCGUGCCAGCAGCCGCGGUAAUACGAAGGGGGCUAGCGUUGUUCGGAUUUACUGGGCGUAAAGCGCACGUAAGCGGUUUGUUAAGUCAGGGGUGAAAUCCCGGAGCUCAACUCCGGAACUGCCUUUGAUACUGGCAAGCUAGAGUCCGGAAGAGGUAAGUGGAACUCCUAGUGUAGAGGUGGAAUUCGUAGAUAUUAGGAAGAACACCAGUGGCGAAGGCGGCUUACUGGUCCGGAACUGACGCUGAGGUGCGAAAGCGUGGGGAGCAAACAGGAUUAGAAACCCUAGUAGUCC